UAUCCAUAGGAAGGUAAUGCAGGCAAAGAUAGACUGAACUUGCGAUAAAUUAAACAGAACAUAUCAAAUAUCUUUUUUUAUGUUUGGAAGGCGAAAUAACACCACAGGCGGAUUUACAGUAUUUUAGCUAUAAAUUUGUAAAAAUAUUUUAUAUUUAUUUCACGUUACGCACAAAACAGGACUUACACGUUUCGAGUUACUGAAUUGUCAAUAAUAUUAAGUGAUUCUGGUUCGUCUCAGAGAAAUCAGAACAAUAGUGGCGGAUAUCGAGGAGGUAGAGAUCAAGUUCAUAGAGGUUAAAGUUAAGAAAGUAGGAAUUCAUGGACAGGUCGUGGAGGAAGAUGGGUUCGCACUAGAUUUUGGAAUGUCAACGGCAGGAGUUCAAAUGGAGAAAGUGACUCAUUUUAUUUGAAACAACAAUGUACUUGCUUUUUGACUUUGACAUAACAGAUAUAACACCGAGAUGUAUCUGACCAUGCUGUUGAUGAUGAUCAUGUUGUUGCCAGGUUGCUACGGUUACCUAGGUGGUGCGCCUGCUGGAGCUUGUGAUGGCAUGUCACCAAACCAUGGCGCUAAUGCUCAGACUGAUGCGUCUAAUUAUACUAUAGUGCCAUCGGCAAACACGUAUGGCUGUGGCGAUACUAUCAACGUAAUUCUCAGUGGAGCAGACUUUAAGGGGUUCCUAUGUCAGGCUCGCUCAAAUGCGAGCACGUAUUCAACGGUCGGGUCUUUAAUACAGACAAUACGGUAACAACGACUAACAACUGUGCUGGGGGGGCUGCAUUAACCCAUACUGAGAAUGAAGAUAAGUCGUCCUUCAAGUUCUCCUGGACCCAUAGUGGUGCAUCAACUGGCAACAUCUACAUCGUAUGCACGGUUGUCCAGCAGAAAACAACUUACUGGGAAAAGUUGACUUCAUCCGCAAUAACAUAUUCCGGAUCAGCAACAACAUGUUCAGCCUCGGGAAGUGGUCACACUGUUGCGUCCGUGCUUGUAGUGUGUGCAUGCAUCCUUCUGAAUAUGAUGAAACUAUUUCUGCAGUAGUUUAAUAAAAAAACGCCACCGAAAGACUGUUUGUUUGAUUAAUAACUGAAACCUCAAUCGAAAUACAAAAUGUACUGUUUGUUUUAUUUAUAAAAGAAACCUUCAUUAAAAGACUGUUUGUUUGAUUAAUAACAGAAACCGCCAUCGAAAUACUGUUUGUUUGAUUAAUAAUAUAAACUUUCAUCGAAAGACUGUUUGUUUGAUUAAUAACAGAAACCUCCAUCGAAAUACUGUUUGUUUUAUUAAUAAUAGAAACCUUCAUCAAAAGACUUUUUGUUUUGAUUAAUAAUAUAAACUUUCAUCCAAAGACUGUUUGUUUGAUUAAUAAAGAACCCCCCAUCGAAAGACUGUUUGUUUGCUUAAUAAAUAACCCUCCAUCGAAAGACUGUUUGUUUGCUUAAUAAAGAACCCUCCAUCGAAA